ACCACCUGUGGUGGACACUGUCUCCUCAGUCCACAGCACCUGUGGUGGACACUGUCUCUCAGUACAUAGCACCUGUGGUGGACGCCCAUCUCCUCCGUCCACAGCACCUGUGGUGGACACUGUCUCCUCAGUCCAUAGCACCUGUGGUGGACGCCCAUCUCCUCUAUCACCACCUGUGGUGGACGCCCGUCUCCUUGGUCCACAGCACCUGUGGUGGACACUGUCUCUCAGUACAUAGCACCUGUGGUGGACGCCCGUCUCCUUGGUCCACAGCACCUGGCAAACCUGCACCUCCCGGGCCCUCAGUGACCCCGUAGGCCCACCUCACUGGGCAACCAGAGCUCCAUGCCCCUGACUUCCACCUCCUUCCCAGAGGGGCGAAGGCGCCUGGCUGAGAGGCCGUGGGCUGCAGGAGGCUGAGGUGGGCAGCUCUCCCACCUGUCCAGCUGCCAGUGGCCCCUGCUCUCUGGUAGGUGUUCCCACUGACUUCCUACCCCAGCGGUGUCUUCAGGGUCUUUGGGACCUCUACUGGGGGUGGUCUCUCAGGAACAGUCAUCCUUCCUGCUGACCCUAGCAACUCGCAGCCUUCUAGGUCCUAGAUCUGAGGUCCUGCCUGGACGCUGGCCAGCAGCUGCAACUCAUCUGCUGUGCUUCAUGAUCUCCUGGGGAGGAGGGCAACAGAGACCAGGGCCCUGCUGCAGGAGACUGGCAAGUCUCUCAGGAAGCCUGGACACUGCUCAUGGCAGGCCUGGGGUCCUCUGCAGAGAGCCCCCAGUUCUGACCCUACCGGAGACCCUCCUGGGACCCACAUCAUGCGGUGUCCUCUCUUGCAUGGCUGUCGCCGGGGCCUGAUGGGCAGUGUUCCACUUCUGACCCCCUGAGACCUGCAGCUGUGGUGACCCUAGCCCCCUCACUUCCAUAGUGAUUCUAGAAACUGUCUGCCCUCCAGAGGGGAGCAGGGGGAGCAGGAGAUGCCCUGGGGAGGUGCAGUCAGAAAGGACUUCGGAGAAAAAGAUGGUUCCGUUAAAGGACUAUUAAAAAUAUUAACAAAGAGGGCAGGUUCCUUGGAUCGUGGUAUGAAUUCCAACUUGCAUUCUUUCUUUUAAAAUUGAACGUACAUAUGCAUGCAUGUGCUUACAUACACACACCUUAAACACAGCUACACACUCACCCAUACACACUCCUGCACACACAUGCACACCUGCACACACCUGAACACACACCUGCACACACACCUGUGUAAACCUCUACACAGACCCAUACACAUGCAUAAUCUGCCUACACCUGCACACACCUGUCCACACCUGCAUACACCUGUACAUACCUGUGCACACACUACUAUGCACCCCCGCACACUCCAGCAUACAUCCUAGACAUCCCUCAUGUAUACACCCCUGCAUACAUGUGUGCACACACACCUGCACACGUGCACACACUUGCACAUCCCCCCACCCUUACACACAUCUUCAUAUUCUCCUACACACCCU
rnacentral:lncRNA from 1 species